rnacentral:rRNA from 1 species
AUUGAACGCUGGCGGCAGGCCUAACACAUGCAAGUCGAGCGGAUGAAGGGAGCUUGCUCCUGGAUUCAGCGGCGGACGGGCGAGUAAUGCCUAGGAACCUGCCUGGUAGCGGGGGAUAACGUCCGGAAACGGGCGCUAAUACCGCAUACGUCCUGAGGGAGUACGUGGGGGAUCUUCGGACCUCACGCUAUCAGAUGAGCCUAGGUCGGAUUAGCUAGUUGGUGGGGUAAAGGCCUACCAAGGCGACGAUCCGUAACUGGUCUGAGAGGAUGAUCAGUCACACUGGAACUGAGACACGGUCCAGACUCCUACGGGAGGCAGCAGUGGGGAAUAUUGGACAAUGGGCGGAAGCCUGAUCCAGCCAUGCCGCGUGUGUGAAGAAGGUCUUCGGAUUGUAAAGCACUUUAAGUUGGGAGGAAGGGCAGUAAGUUAAUACCUUGCUGUUUUGACGUUACCAACAGAAUAAGCACCGGCUAACUUCGUG